GUUCCGGAGUCACUCUAACCACUGUGACAUAUACCUUUGUUUUCGUUGCCUCGGCGGGUCGUGCUCCCUGGAAACAGGGGUUCGCGCCGCCGGGUGACACCUAAACCCUGAUUUAAUUACAGAAGUCUUUCUGAGUAAAACAUUCUAAAUGAAUCAAAACUUUCAACAACGGAUCUCUUGGUUCUGGCAUCGAUGAAGAACGCAGCGAAAUGCGAUAAGUAAUGUGAAUUGCAGAAUUCAGUGAAUCAUCGAAUCUUUGAACGCACAUUGCGCCCGCCAGUAUUCUGGCGGGCAUGCCUGUUCGAGCGUCAUUUCAACCCUCAAGACCCCUUCGGGGGACUUGGUGUUGGGGACCGGCUGUUCCCGGCCUGCUUCUUGCAGCGCCUUUUAUGCCGCCCCCGAAAUGAAUUGGCGGCCUCGUCGCGGCCUCCCCUGCGUAGUAGCACAACCUCGCAACGGGAACGUGACGGCGGCCACUGCCGUAAAACAACCCCAAUUUAGAGUUGACCUCGAAUCAGGGAGGAAUACCCCGCUGAACUUAAGCAUAUCAAAA
rnacentral:rRNA from 1 species